rnacentral:rRNA from 1 species
CGUAAGUACCUUUACCAGGUCUUGACAUACUAUGCAAAUCUAAGAGAUUAGACGUUCCCUUCGGGGACAUGGAUACAGGUGGUGCAUGGUUGUCGUCAGCUCGUGUCGUGAGAUGUUGGGUUAAGUCCCGCAACGAGCGCAACCCUUAUUAUCAGUUGCCAGCAUUAAGUUGGGCACUCUGGUGAGACUGCCGGUGACAAACCGGAGGAAGGUGGGGAUGACGUCAAAUCAUCAUGCCCCUUAUGACCUGGGCUACACACGUGCUACAAUGGAUGGUACAACGAGUUGCGAACUCGCGAGAGUAAGCUAAUCUCUUAAAGCCAUUCUCAGUUCGGAUUGUAGGCUGCAACUCGCCUACAUGAAGUCGGAAUCGCUAGUAAUCGCGGAUCAGCAUGCCGCGGUGAAUAUUUUCCCCGGGCA